GGGGUUGUAGCUCAGAAGUAGAGUGCACUUGUCUCGCAUGCGUGAGGCCCUGAGUUCGAUCCUCAGCACCACA
rnacentral:tRNA from 1 species